GAAACUAACAAGGAUUCCCCUAGUAACGGCGAGUGAAGUGGGAAAAGCUCAACUUUGAAAUCUGGCAGCUUUGCUGUCCGAGUUGUAGUCUCGAGAAGCGUUUUCCGCGCUGAAGCAUGCAGGAGUCUGUUGGAAUACAGCGCCAUAGAGGGUGAGAGCCCCGUUCGUGGCAUGCCUUUCAGUGCUUUGUGAUACGCUUUCGAUGAGUCGAGUUGUUUGGGAAUGCAGCUCAAAUUGGGUGGUAAAUUCCAUCUAAAGCUAAAUAUUGGCGGGAGACCGAUAGCAAACAAGUACCGUGAGGGAAAGAUGAAAAGCACUUUGGAAAGAGAGUUAAAAGUACGUGAAAUUGUCGAAAGGGAAACGCUUGAAGUCGGACGUGCAGGGCAACUUGCAGACCAACAUCGGUUUCAGUAGCCGGAUAAAGGUGGAGGGAAGGUAGCAGCUUCGGUUGUGUUAUAGCCCUCUACUGAAUACGGAUGCCGAGACCGAGGACCGCAGCGCAAGCUUAGG
rnacentral:rRNA from 1 species